rnacentral:rRNA from 1 species
AGAACACCCGGCGAAUUUAAGCAUAUUACUAACCGGAGGAAAAGAAACCAACAGGACGUCCUCAGUAGCGGCGAGCGAAGCGGACGAUGCCCAAACCGAACCGCGGUUCCCGAGGGGCCGCGGAGUGUGGAGAGGAUGAGCUCGCGAGGGGGCGGGACGGGUUCCAAUCCGUCUGGAAGGGCGGAGGCACGGAGGGCGAUUCCCCGUACGUGCUCGGUCCGUCCCCGACGAGCGAACGCAUCGGAGAGUCGGGCCGCUUGAGAGUGCAGCCCGAAUGGGGUGAUAGGUCUCAUCCAAGGCUAAGUACGUGGGAGACGCCGAUAGCGAACAAGUACGGCGACGGAAAGGUGAAAAGAACCUCGAAAGGGGGGUCAAAAGCGCUCGAAAUCGUAGAGGGGGAAGCGGACCUGACCGACGAGACCUCGUCGUCGCUCGCGCUCGACCCACGCUUCGUCGCGGAGUUCCGGAGGGCUCG